GUCCCUAUAGCUCAGAUGGAUAGAGCACAAGUUUCCUAAACUUGGGGCCAGAGGUUCGAAUCCUCUUAGGGACGCCA
rnacentral:tRNA from 1 species